rnacentral:rRNA from 1 species
GUGCCAGCCGCCGCGGUAAUACGUAUGUCGCAAGCGUUAUCCGGAAUUAUUGGGCAUAAAGGGCAUCUAGGCGGCCAGAUAAGUCUGGGGUGAAGACUUGCGGCUCAACCGCAAGCCUGCCCUGGAAACUAUGUGGCUAGAGUACUGGAGAGGUGGACGGAACUGCACGAGUAGAGGUGAAAUUCGUAGAUAUGUGCAGGAAUGCCGAUGAUGAAGAUAGUUCACUGGACGGUAACUGACGCUGAAGUGCGAAAGCUAGGGGAGCAAACAGGAUUAGAUACCCUGGUAGUCCUAGCUGUAAACGAUGAUUACUGGGUGUGGGCAUGAAGAGUGUCCGUGCCGAAGCUAAUGCGAUAAGUAAUCCGCCUGGGGAGUACGGCCGCAAGGCUGAAACUCAAAGGAAUUGACGG